UACGUAGGGGGCAAGCGUUGUCCGGAUUCAUUGGGCGUAAAGGGUGCGUAGGUGGCAUGGUAAGUCGGAUGUGAAAUCCCGGGGCUCAACCCCGGAACUGCAUUCGAUACUGCUGCGCUAGAGUACUGGAGAGGAGAUUGGAAUUUACGGUGUAGCAGUGAAAUGCGUAGAUAUCGUAAGGAAGACCAGUGGCGAAGGCGGAUCUCUGGACAGUUACUGACACUGAGGCACGAAGGCCAGGGGAGCAAACGGG
rnacentral:rRNA from 1 species